rnacentral:lncRNA from 12 species
CCACUGGUUAAAAAGGGCCAGGUGAUGGGAUCCAGGGCAGGUGAGGGGGCUGCACAUGCUGCUUUGGGCUCCCCAGCACACAGGGAGAAGGGGCUCUAUCGAUCUGACACUGAGAGAAAAUCUUACUGUGGAAGCUGAAAUGAGGGGUUAGGCAAAAGAGAGAAUAGAAAAGAAAGAAGGAAAGAAGGGAAGUUUCAGGGAAGGGAAGGGAAGUUACAGGGAAGGGAAGUUUCAGGGAAGGGAAGUUUCAGGGAAGGGGAGGGAAGGGAAGGGAAGGGAAGGGAAGGGAAGUUUCAGGGAAGGGAAGGGAAGGGAAGGGAAGGGAAGACUUUUAUUUCUUACCCUAACAACUUAAUAGCCAAAGCAAAGUUAUUUUAGCAGCUCUGUAGC